UAGAGUUUGAUCAUGGCUCAGGAUGAACGCURGRCGGCGUGCCUAAUACAUGCAAGUCGAGCGAACAGAUGAGAAGCUUGCUUUCUGAUGUUAGCGGCGGACGGGUGAGUAACACGUGGGUAACCUACCUAUAAGACUGGGAUAACUCCGGGAACCGGGGCUAAUACCGGAUAAUAUUUUGAACCGCAUGGUUCAAUAGUGAAAGACGGUUUCGGCUGUCACUUAUAGAUGRACCCGCGCCGUAUUAGCUAGUUGGUAAGGUAACGGCUUACCAAGGCGACGAUACGUAGCCGACCUGAGAGGGUGAUCGGCCACACUGGAACUGAGACACGGUCCAGACUCCUACGGGAGGCAGCAGUAGGGAAUCUUCCGCAAUGGGCGAAAGCCUGACGGAGCAACGCCGCUGAGUGAUGAAGGUCUUCGGAUGUAAAACUCGUUGUUAGGGAAGAACAAAUUUGUUAGUAACUGAACAAGUCUUGACGGUACCUAACCAGAAAGCCACGGCUAACUACGUGCCAGCAGCCGCGGUAAUACGUAGGUGGCAAGCGUUAUCCGGAAUUAUUGGGGUAAAGCGCGGUAGGCGGUUUUUAAGUUGAUGUGAAAGCCCACGGCUCAACCGUGGAGGGUCAUUGGAAACUGGGAAACUGAGUCAGAAGAGGAGAGUGGAAUUCCAUGUGUAGCGGUGAAAUGCCAGAGAUAUGGAGGACACCAGUGGGAAGGCGGCUUUGGUCUGUAACUGCGCUGAUGUGCGAAACGUGGGGAUCAACAGGAUUAGAUCCCUGGUAGUCCACCCGUAACGAUGAGUGCUAAGUGUUAGGGGGUUUCCGCCCCUUAGUGCUGCAGCUAACGCAUUAAGCACUCCGCCCG
rnacentral:rRNA from 1 species